GUGCCCGUAGCUCAAUUGGAUAGAGCGCUGCCCUCCGAAGGCAGAGGUUGCAGGUUCGACUCCCGCCGGGCAUA
rnacentral:tRNA from 1 species